rnacentral:rRNA from 1 species
AGGACACAUUUAAUUGAGCCCGUCAAAUUAAGUGCCAGCCGACGCGGUUAAACUUAAGGGCUGGUCUUUAUAAGUAAAAAGGCGUAAAGGAUGUGUAGGCCAAGAAACGAUCCAAGUAGGUAAAUGGAAUUUUUCUGGAGCGGUAGAAUGUGAGGAUAGAAAAUAGAACCCCUAAGGUAAAAACUAUUUACUACAAGGUAGGCUGAAACAUGAGAGUGUGGGGAGCAAACAGGAUUAGAGACCCUGGUAGUCCACACUGUGAACUUUGAAGAUGAUGCUUAGCAGACCCGAAAGGUAAAAUCUUCCGCCUGAGUAGUACGAUCGCAAGAUUAAAAUUCAAAAACUUUGGCUGUUCACUAUUUCGAUUAGAGGAGCGUGUAGUUUAAUUCGAUGGUCCGCGUGUUACCUUACCCCAACUUGAAUCUGUGACCGGUAUUGCAUGGCCGUCGUAAGUUCGUGUAUUAAGCUAGAAGGGACCCAACCCGGGCAUUUGCCCGGAGGAAGUCAGGUCUUAUGAUCCGAAUGUUGGGGGAUUUUAUGCGCUACAUUUUCUUAUAUAAUGAGAAACCUGGAAGGUGAAUCUCUAAAGUAAGAGUUCGGAAGGUCGCUGUAAGACGACUGGAAGUUGGAUUUAAUAGUAAUCGGAAAG